rnacentral:RNase_P_RNA from 1 species
AGCAGAUUGUGCAGCCGCGGAAGCGCUUUUUAUGCUUACGAGGAAAGUCCGGGCAUCACAGAGCAGGGUAACUGCUAACGGCAGCCGGGGGCGACCCUAGGGCAAGUGCAACAGAAAUAAUACAGCUUCGAUUGGCUCACGCCUUUCGCGGCAACGGUGGAAAGGUGCGGUAAGAGCGCACCAGAGGGCGCGAGAGCGUCCUGCUGUGUAAACCCUACCCGAUGCAACGCUGAUUGGUGCGGAUGGUCGGAACGUCUGCUCGGCGGAUCAUUCGCAAAGGCGGCUUGAGCGGUUCGGCGACGAAUCGCCUAGAUAAAUGGCUGCACUGCGCUUUGCGCAGAGUCACAGAACCCGGCUUACAGGUCUGGUC